GAUGAACGCUAGCUACAGGCUUAACACAUGCAAGUCGAGGGGAAACGACAUCGAAAGCUUGCUUUUGAUGGGCGUCGACCGGCGCACGGGUGAGUAACGCGUAUCCAACCUGCCCAUCACUUGGGGAUAACCUUGCGAAAGUAAGACUAAUACCCAAUGAUAUCUCUAGAAGACAUCUGAAAGAGAUUAAAGAUUUAUCGGUGAUGGAUGGGGAUGCGUCUGAUUAGCUUGUUGGCGGGGUAACGGCCCACCAAGGCAACGAUCAGUAGGGGUUCUGAGAGGAAGGUCCCCCACAUUGGAACUGAGACACAGUCCAAACUCCGACGGGAGGCAGCAGUGAGGAAUAUUGGUCGAUGGGCGAGAGCCUGAACCAGCCAAGUAGCGUGCAGGAAGACGGCCGUAUGGAUUGUAAACUGCUUUUAUAAAGGAAUAAAGUGAGAGUCGUGACUCGUUUUGUAUGUACCUAAUGAAUAAGGACCGGCUAAUUCCGUG
rnacentral:rRNA from 1 species